GCCGGGGUACCGAAGUGGACAAACGGGUCUGUCUGUAAAACAGAUGGCGUAAGCCUUCGGGGGUUCGAAUCCCUCCUCCGGCA
rnacentral:tRNA from 1 species